rnacentral:rRNA from 1 species
AUUGAACGCUGGCGGCAUGCCUUACACAUGCAAGUCGAACGGUAACGCGGGGCAACCUGGCGACGAGUGGCGAACGGGUGAGUAAUACAUCGGAACGUGCCCAGUAGUGGGGGAUAGCCCGGCGAAAGCCGGAUUAAUACCGCAUACGACCUACGGGUGAAAGCGGGGGAUCGCAAGACCUCGCGCUAUUGGAGCGGCCGAUGUCAGAUUAGCUAGUUGGUGGGGUAAAGGCCUACCAAGGCGACGAUCUGUAGCUGGUCUGAGAGGACGACCAGCCACACUGGGACUGAGACACGGCCCAGACUCCUACGGGAGGCAGCAGUGGGGAAUUUUGGACAAUGGGGGCAACCCUGAUCCAGCCAUGCCGCGUGCGGGAAGAAGGCCUUCGGGUUGUAAACCGCUUUUGUCGGGGAAGAAACGGUCUGCGCUAAUACCGCGGGCUAAUGACGGUACCCGAAGAAUAAGCACCGGCUAACUACGUGCCAGCCGCCGCAGUAAUAC